UCUCCCCUUCUCCCAUGGCGAUCCCGUACCGGAUCACCGGCGGCGGCAGGCAGCGGGCGCUGCCGCUGCCGCCGAAGGGGGCCCUGCUGGCCGCCGCGACGACCGCGUCGGUGCUCUCCAUCCUCUGCGUGCUGUCCUUCACGGACUCGCUGGCCUACCUGGGGUUCCAGGCCAGGAGCGUCGACAAGCGGGAGAGCAGCCGCAGGUACCUCUACUGGGGCGGCGCCGUCGACUGCCCCGGCAAGCACUGCGGCUCCUGCGCGGGCCUCGGCCACCAGGAGUCCAGCCUCCGCUGCGCCCUCGAGGAGGCCCUCUUCCUUGACAGAAUAUUUGUGAUGCCGUCAAGGAUGUGCCUUAAUUCAGUGCACAAUGCAAAGGGGAUACUUAACCAAAGCAAUGCAGCUUCUGAUAAAAGUGGCGGAUGGGAAACAGGUUCAUGUGCGAUGGAAUCUUUGUAUGACAUAGACCUCAUAUCAAGAACUGUACCUGUUGUUUUGGACAAUCCACAAUCAUGGUAUGCUAUAGUAUCAAGAAGUACGAAACUAGGAGAGGGAGGAGAUGUAGCACAUGCACAAGGAGUUAGCAGACAAGAACUCAAAGAUAACCCACUUUACUCAAAUGCGUUCCUCAUAAACCGCACUGCAAGUCCUCUUGCUUGGUUUAUGGAGUGCAAGGAUCGGACCAAGCGUAGCUCUGUGAUGUUACCGUACAAUUUUCUGCCAACUAUGCCAGCAAGAAAAUUGAGGGAUGCAGCAAAUAAGAUGAAAGAGAUACUGGGUGACUACGAUGCUAUUCAUGUAAGACGGGGUGAUCUACUGAAGAAUAGGAAAGAUAGAUUUGGUGUCGAGCGGAGCCUUCAUCCUCAUCUUGACAGAGAUACCCGCCCUGAGUACAUCAAGAAAAGAAUUGCAAAGUGGAUUCCACGAGGUCAUACUCUUUUCAUUGCUUCAAAUGAAAGGACACCGGGCUUCUUUUCACCUCUAUCAGACAGAUACAAGUUGGCAUACUCAUCGAACUUCAGCAGCAUAUUGGAGCCAAUUAUCGAGAACAACUAUCAGCUGUUCAUGGUCGAAAGGUUAAUCAUGCAAGGAGCAAAGACGUUUGUGAAGACUAUGAAAGAAUUUGAUAAUGACCUUUCCCUUUGCGAUGACCCUAAAAAGAACACUAAAGUCUGGCAGGAACCAGUUUAUACAGACGACUGAUGGUUCGUAUAUUUGACUUUGCAUGCAUAUAUGAGGUAGAUCUCGCAAAUUGUCACUAUGGAUGACCUAAUCUACUUAACACAGUUACACCCCUCAAGCUAGGACACUCAAGUCAACCGACAGAACAAGAGGAAGCAUAUGCAUGUUUCCAUUCUUCAGACAAGAUGUUCAAUUUGUUCCUUCAUUUUUUUUUUCAUAUACAAGAGAGGAGAUUAUAUAUACUAGCGUGGGUGUGAUGUAAUUUCAUCGUUGUUUUUAUUUAAGCCAAACUGUCGUGUAUAUGUAAUAGCCAAUUAGCUGGCAGCUAAUGGUGAAGACAUCUGUAAUUAAUUUUUGCCAUAUGAAAAUUCAUAUCUGAAAGCAUAUAGUAAUAGGACU